GAAUCAUUGAGACUUAUGAUAUGAAGGUCAUAUAGGAGCAAGAUGUCAUCUAGAUGAACAGCCAUUCUUCACCCAGAUUAUCCUUAGUUUUUGUUUUCCUUGUUAUUGUUAUCCUGCUAUUGUGUUGGUAUUGCCAACUAGCAGGUUAGUAGAACCACAUAGACAUUAUAUUGAGCCAGAUGUUUAAUCUGUGAUUUUACAUUUCAACUUAGAGUGAUCUAAAAAUCAGUGCCGAGAUUUGACCAUUAGCAUUGAGGAAUGUUUAUAGUCCUUUACUAAGAUAUUAAUGUAGUCAGCUGUCUGAAGUCAGUUCAGUGACCCCCAGCUUAAAAGUUAGCAUUAAUCCUCUGUCUGCCCGCCUCUUACUAUUGCCUUUCUUUUCUCCAUUUUGUUCUUUCAUGACUGCUUUUCCUUUUACAUUUUGUCCUUCUUAAUUUAAUUUAAUGUUCACUGAUGUGAUUGCAGAUUUGGAAGCAAAAAGCUCAGUAUCUGCAGCACAAACAGAACAAAGCAGAAGCCACAACUGUGAAAAGGAAAGCAUCCAGCUCAGAAGGUUCCAUGAAAGUCAAAGCCUCUUCUGUAGGAGUACUGUCACCCCAGAAGAAGUCCCCACCCACCACCAUGCUGUUACCAGCCUCACCAGCCAAAGCCCCUGAGACAGAGCCCAUUGAUGUUGCUGCUCAUCUUCAGCUGUUGGGAGAGUCCCUAAGCCUCAUUGGACACCGUCUGCAGGAAACUGAGGGUAUGGUGGCUGUGUCUGGCAGUUUGUCAGUGCUUC
rnacentral:sRNA from 1 species